UACGGAGGGUGCAAGCGUUAAUCGGAAUUACUGGGCGUAAAGCGCGCGUAGGCGGUUUUUUAAGUCGGAUGUGAAAGCCCCGGGCUCAACCUGGGGACUGCAUCCGAUACUGGAAGACUAGAAUGCGGGAGAGGGAGGUAGAAUUCCAUGUGUAGCAGUGAAAUGCGUAGAUAUAUGGAGGAAUACCAGUGGCGAAGGCGGCCUCCUGGCUCGACAUUGACGCUGAGGUGCGAAAGCGUGGGGAGCAAACGGG
rnacentral:rRNA from 1 species